GCUGGUCCCUCCCCUGCCGCUCCCUUCCGGACACUGGUGGCGGGUCUUGAUGGGAGGAGCUUGCCACAUUUACAGCCAGAAAUGGAGCACUAGGAAUGCAUAUGGAAGACAGGCUGGAUUUGACAUAAAGGAGGAGCAGGAGACUAGAAGAAAGUGCAAAAGGAGAGAAGGGGUGCAGGAGCAAGGGAGAAAAGAGCUUCAUUUGUGCCCAUAAGCCUUGAAUAUAAAGACCCAGCCUCAGUCUGAAACAGAGCCAGCAGUGAGGCAGCCUCAGAAUCAGCCCUGCUGCUGAGGUCUGACAUGUGAACAACCCAGCAGGAAUUAAAGAGGUGAAAUCAGCAGAUGAAACACUUGCUGAAGCCGAGAUAAGCAUUCCUGGGUAGGAAUUUUUCAAAAAAUCAAAAUGAAUCCUGUAAAUCUUCCUAAUUAGGAAACAUGACAAGAAACUAAAUUCAACCAAAAAAAAAAAAAAUGAAGUGCUGAAUAACACACCCACACUAAAUGGAAAGGCUCUAUUGAAAAUACCACUGAUUAUUAGUUUUCGCUGCUCAAGGAAAUUAUCUCGGCACAAUGAUGGGCAUCAACAUGCAGCUCACAGCAGCAGUCAAAAGCAGCAGCUGAGAUGUGUGGCCAUCCUAAUUAGAGGAGGGAGAAUUCUGAAAAGGCUCUGGAGCUGUGACAUUCCUGGCUGAAGCUUUCCUUCUAGGAAUGCCACAUAAGGGUUUUGGUCAUCACAUUGUAAAAGGGAACUUAAUAGGAAUGAUCUGGAAAAGGACAGUAGAACUGCCUUGGGAAAGAGUGCUAGAAGCUUUGAGGCUAAAGGCAAAAAGCAGGAAAACACUUCCAUAAGAAAUCAUUUUCAAA